AGUCUUGGCCUAAUGGUUAGAGAGUCGGACUUGUAACCUGAAGGUUGCCGGUUCGAGUCUCAGGUCCGGCAUUGAUUA